rnacentral:lncRNA from 1 species
GGUUUGCUUGCACGCUUAUGUUAUUAUCAUUUCCUCUAAGUAAGAGAGAACGAUAUGAUGGUAGUGGUUGUUGGUUUGUAUUCACAUCAAUGCCAUCAAUGUUACCUCUAUUGAGCUACUGUGAUAUAAGGGUGGUGGUGUUGUUGGUAGUUGAAGAUUUUUAUGCACAAUUUGUCCAUCAUCAUUACCUCUAAUCAAUUGCGGGCACCAUAUGAGGAUGGUGGUGGAGACAUCAACAGAGUUCCUCCAUGUUGGACUGAUUCUAAAGGUUUUGGUAAUGGUUCACAUUAUCACAUAGGCUGUUUAAACCUUGUAAUAUGCAACAUGGGUGAUUUUUUUUGGUCUAACACCACUGUUAGAUAGCUACAAUGCUUGUAAACUUCAGCCUCUAAACUCACAUGGAUUUGACUAAGUCUGGAAGACUUAUCUCACUGUUUCGCAGCGUACUUAAUUAACAAAC